GAGGUGGAAGGAUUGCCUGAGACCAGGAGGACGAGGCUGUGGUAAGCUGUGAUCAUACCACUGCACUCCAGCCUGGCUAACAGAGCAAGACC
rnacentral:miRNA from 1 species